rnacentral:rRNA from 1 species
UACGUAGGUGGCAAGCGUUGUCCGGAAUUAUUGGGCUAAGCGCGCGCAGGCGGCCUCUUAAGUCUGAUGUGAAAGCCCCCGGCUCAACCGGGGAGGGCCAUGGAAACUGGGAGGCUUGAGUAUAGGAGAGAAGGGUGGAAUUCCACGUGUAGCGGUGAAAUGCGUAGAGAUGUGGAGGAACACCAGUGGCGAAGGCGACUCUU